rnacentral:rRNA from 1 species
CCUACGGGUGGCAGCAGUGAGGAAUAUUGGUCAAUGGACGCAAGUCUGAACCAGCCAUGCCGCGUGAAGGAAGACGGUUCUAUGAGUUGUAAACUGCUUUUGUACGAGGGUAAACGCAGAUACGUGUCCCCGUCUGAAAGUAUCGUACGAAUAAGGAUCGGCUAACUCCGUGCCAGCAGCCGCGGUAAUACGGAGGAUUCAAGCGUUAUCCGGAUUUAUUGGGUUUAAAGGGUGCGUAGGCGGUCGGAUAAGUUAGAGGUGAAAUCCCGAGGCUCAACUUCGGAAUUGCCUCUGAUACUGUUCGGCUAGAGAGUAGUAGCGGUAGGCGGAAUGUACGGUGUAGCGGUGAAAUGCUUAGAGAUCAUACAGAACACCGAUUGCGAAGGCAGCUUACCAAGCUACUUCUGACGUUGAGGCACGAAAGCGUGGGGAGCGAACAGGAUUAGAUACCCCAGUAGUC